rnacentral:rRNA from 1 species
CCUACGGGAGGCAGCAGUGGGGAAUCUUGCACAAUGGAGGAAACUCUGAUGCAGCGAUGCCGCGUGAGUGAAGAAGGCCUUUGGGUUGUAAAGCUCUUUUGUAGGGGAAGAUAAUGACUGUACCCUAAGAAUAAGGUCCGGCUAACUUCGUGCCAGCAGCCGCGGUAAUACGAAGGGACCUAGCGUAGUUCGGAAUUACUGGGCGUAAAGCGCGCGUAGGCCGUUGAGUUAGUUAAUUGUGAAAUCCCAAAGCUUAACUUUGGAACUGCAAUUAAAACUGCUCGACUAGAGUUUGAUAGAGGAAAGCGGAAUACAUAGUGUAGAGGUGAAAUUCGUAGAUAUUAUGUAGAACACCAGUUGCGAAGGCGGCUUUCUGGAUCAACACUGACGCUGAGGCGCGAAAGUAUGGGUAGCAAAGAGGAUUAGAUACCCUCGUAGUCCAUACCAUAAACGAUGAUUGCUAGAUGUUGGAAAUUUAUUUUCAGUAUCGCAGCUAACGCAUUAAGCAAUCCGCCUGGGGAGUACGACCGCAAGGUUAAAACUCAAAGGAAUUGACGGCUGAGACCGNGCGAGCGACACGAGGAGAG